rnacentral:misc_RNA from 1 species
CUUUCUAAGUCUCAAUCUCCUAAUUAAUCUCAUAUCACUCUUUUCUCUAGCCUUCUCUCUCACUACUCUUUGAAAAUGGCUACUGUAUCUACGCAGUCCAACACCUUCUCAAGCUGCCUAAUCGAUGUAAGCUUUGACAUGGAUGAGGCUCUCACUUUGCCUCCAAAUUUUGGCCAUCAAAUCUCCGAAUCCCACUUUUUGGUCGCCGAUAUGCCUACGGUUGUUUCGGAUGAUGUUUGCUCCGUUUGCAUGGAGGGUUUCCAGUCAGGCGUAGGUGGGAAACGAGUCCCAUGUGGCCACGUCUACCAUGCAGGUUGUAUCUCCUCCUG